rnacentral:rRNA from 1 species
GAUCAUGGCUCAGGACGAACGCUGGCGGCGUGCUUAACACAUGCAAGUCGAACGGAGCACCCUUGACUGAGGUUUCGGGCCAAAUGAUAGGAAUGCUUAGUGGCGGACUGGUGAGUAACGCGUGAGGAACUUGCCUUUCAGAGGGGGACAACAGUUGGAAACGACUGCUAAUACCGCAUGAUGCGUAACUGGGACAUCCCGGAUACGCCAAAGAUUUUAUCGACUGAAAGAUGG